CCUACGGUGGGCAGCAGUGAGGAAUAUUGGUCAAUGGACGAGAGUCUGAACCAGCCAAGUAGCGUGAAGGAUGACUGCCCUCUGGGUGGUAAACUUCUUUUAUAGAGGAAUAAAACGAGGCACGUGUGCAUUUUUGCAUGUACUUUAUGAAUAAGGAUCGGCUAACUCCGUGCCAGCAGCCGCGGUAAUCCGGAGGAUCCGAGCGUUAUCCGGAUUUAUUGGGUUUAAAGGGAGCGUAGAUGGGUUUUCAAGUCAGUUGUGAAAGUUUGCGGCUCAACCGUAAAAUUGCAAUUGAUACUGGCAGGCUGGAGUACAGUUGAGGUAGGCGGAAUUCGUGGUGUAGCGGUGAAAUGCUUAGAUAUCACGAAGAACACCGAUGGCGAAGGCAGCUUACUAAACUGUGACUGACACUGAUGCUCGAAAGUGUGGGUAUCAAACAGGAUUAGAUACCCGGGUAGUC
rnacentral:rRNA from 1 species